rnacentral:rRNA from 1 species
UGGGGAAUAUUGCACAAUGGGCGCAAGCCUGAUGCAGCCAUGCCGCGUGUGUGAAGAAGGCCUUCGGGUUGUAAAGCACUUUCAGCGAGGAGGAAGGGUUCAGUGUUAAUAGCACUGUUCAUUGACGUUACUCGCAGAAGAAGCACCGGCUAACUCCGUGCCAGCAGCCGCGGUAAUACGGAGGGUGCAAGCGUUAAUCGGAAUUACUGGGCGUAAAGCGCACGCAGGCGGUUUGUUAAGUCAGAUGUGAAAUCCCGCGCUAACGUGGAACUGCAUUUG